rnacentral:rRNA from 1 species
GAUGAACGCUGGCGGCGUGCUUAACACAUGCAAGUCGAACGGAGAAUCGUUAAUGAGAUCUUCGGAUGGAUUUAACGAUUCUUAGUGGCGGACGGGUGAGUAACGCGUGGAUAACCUGGCCCAUACAGGGGGAUAGCAGUUGGAAACGGCUGCUAAUACCGCAUAAGCGCACAGUACCGCAUGGUACGGUGUGAAAAACUCCGGUGGUACAAGAUGGUCCCCGCGUCUGAUUAGCUGGUUGGUGAGGUAACGGCCCACCAAGGCGACGAUCAGUAGCCGGCCUGAGAGGGUGAACGGCCACAUUGGGACUGAGACACGGCCCAAACUCCUACGGGAGGCAGCAGUGGGGAAUAUUGCACAAUGGGGGAAACCCUGAUGCAGCGACGCCGCGUGAGUGAGGAAGUAUUUCGGUAUGUAAAACUCUAUCAGCAGGGAAGAUAAUGACGGUACCUGACUAAGAAGCACCGGCUAAAUACGUG